CACAAGCGGAGGAACAUGUGGUUUAAUUCGAUGAUACGCGAGGAACCUUACCUGGGCUUAAAUGCAGAGUGCAUGGAGUGGAAACACUUCUUCCCUUCGGGGCUCUUUGCAAGGUGCUGCAUGGUUGUCGUCAGCUCGUGCCGUGAGGUGUCGGGUUAAGUCCCAUAACGAGCGCAACCCUUAUCGUUAGUUGCCAGCGGGUAAAGCCGGGAACUCUAGCGAAACUGCCGGUGUAAACCGAGAGGAAGUGGGGAUGACGUCAAAUCAGCACGGCCCUUAUGUCCAGGGCUACACACGUGUUACAAUGGCCGGUACAGAGGGCAGCUACCUGGAGACAGGAUGCGAAUCUCGAAAGCCGGUCUCAGUUCGGAUCGGAGUCUGCAACUCGACUCCGUGAAGUUGGAAUCGCUAGUAAUCGUGGAUCAGCAUGCCACGGUGAAUACGUUCCCGGGCCUU
rnacentral:rRNA from 1 species